rnacentral:rRNA from 1 species
CUUUAAAAUCAGACCUCCUGUGUGGGGGUCAGAGUUGUAAUCUGUAGAGGGUGUUUCGGGUGCGGCUCUGGUUUAAGUUCCUUGGAACAGGGCGUCAUAGAGGGUGAGAACCCCGUCUGCAACCAGUGGCUUAGCCUAUGUGAAACCCCUUCGACGAGUCGAGUUGUUUGGGAAUGCAGCUCCAAAUGGGUGGUAAAUUUCAUCUAAAGCUAAAUAUUGGCCGGAGACCGAUAGCGCACAAGUAGAGUGAUCGAAAGAUGAAAAGCACUUUGGAAAGAGAGUUAAAUAGUACGUGAAAUUGUUGAAAGGGAAGCGCUUGCGACCAGACCUGCGCGUAGGUGAUUAGUUAGUAUCCUCUAAGUUACUAGUGCACUCACCUAUAGCCAGGCCAGCAUCGGUUUCGGCGGCGGGACAAAAGCGUGGAGAAUGUAACUCUCUCUUUGGGGGAGUACUUAUAGCUCGUCAUGAAAUGCCGCCAGCUGAGACCGAGGACCGCGCUUUUUAGCUAGRAUGCUGGCAUAAUGGUGCAAGCGACCCGUCUUGAAACACGGACCAAGGGGUGGAAGCUCGCAGCGGUUCUGACGUGCAAAUCGAUCGUCAAAUUUGGGCAUAGGGGCGAAAGACUAAUCGAACCAUCUAGUAGCUGGUUCCUGCCGAAGUUUCCCUCAGGAUAGCAGUAACGAUUCUCAGUUUUAUGAGGUAAAGGAAUGAUUAGAGGCCUUGGGGCUGCAACAGCCUUAACCUAUUCUCAAACUUUAAAUAUGUAAGAAGUCCUUGUUACUUAAUUGAACGUGGACAAUUGAAUGCAACGUUACUAGUGGGCCAUUUUUGGUAAGCAGAACUGGCGAUGCGGGAUGAACCGAACGCAAGGUUACGGUGCCGGAAUGCACGCUCAUCAGACACCACAAAAAGUGUCAAUUCAUCCAGACAGCCGGACGGUGGCCAUGGAAGUCGGAAUCCGCUAAGGAGUGUGUAACAACUCACCGGCCGAAUGAAUUGGCCUUGAAAAUGGAUGGCG